CCUACGGGGGGCAGCAGUGGGGAAUAUUGGGCAAUGGGGGGAACCCUGACCCAGCGACGCCGCGUGAGGGAAGACGGCCUUCGGGUUGUAAACCUCUUUUGUACGGGAAGAAGGACGUGACGGUACCGUACGAAUAAGUCCCGGCUAACUACGUGCCAGCAGCCGCGGUAAUACGUAGGGGACGAGCGUUGUCCGGAAUUACUGGGCGUAAAGGGCGCGCAGGCGGUAUAUCAAGUCAGCUGUCAAAGACUGGGGCUCAACCCUGGUAUGCGGUUGAAACUGAUAUGCUGGAGUGCUGUAGAGGCAAGUGGAAUUCCCAGUGUAGCGGUGAAAUGCGUAGAUAUUGGGAAGAACACCGGUGGCGAAGGCGACUUGCUGGGCAGCAACUGACGCUGAGGCGCGAAAGCCAGGGGAGCAAACGGGAUUAGAUACCCCUGUAGUC
rnacentral:rRNA from 1 species